rnacentral:rRNA from 1 species
GACAGAGGUUGCAAACGUUGUUCGGAAUUACUGGGCGUAAAGCGCACGUAGGCGGUUCGUUAAGUCAUGUGUGAAAUCCCUCGGCUCAACCGAGGAAUUGCGCCUGAUACUGGCGGGCUAGAGUACGAUAGGGGUGAGUGGAACUCCAGGUGGAGCGGUGAAAUGCGUAGAUAUCUGGAGGAACACCGGUGGCGAAAGCGGCUCACUGGAUCGAUACUGACGCUGAGGUGCGAAAGCUAGGGUAGCAAACGGG